GAUGAACGCUGGCGGCGUGCCUAAUACAUGCGAGUCGAGCGAACGGACGAGAAGCUUGCUUCUCUGAUGUUAGCGGCGGACGGGUGAGUAACACGUGGAUAACCUACCUAUAAGACUGGGAUAACUUCGGGAAACCGUAGCUAAUACCGGAUAAUAUUUUGAACCGCAUGGUUCAAAAGUGAAAGACGGUCUUGCUGUCACUUAUAGAUGGAUCCGCGCUGCAUUAGCUAGUUGGUAAGGUAACGGCUUACCAAGGCAACGAUGCAUAGCCGACCUGAGAGGGUGAUCGGCCACACUGGAACUGAGACACGGUCCAGACUCCUACGGGAGGCAGCAGUAGGGAAUCUUCCGCAAUGGGCGAAAGCCUGACGGAGCACCGCCGCGUGAGUGAUGAAGGUCUUCGGAUCGUAAAACUCUGUUAUUAGGGAAGAACAUAUGUGUAAGUAACUGUGCACAUCUUGACGGUACCUAAUCAGAAAGCCACGGCUAACUACGUG
rnacentral:rRNA from 1 species